GAUAGUAGCAAAUAUUUCAGCGAAGAUCUGGAGGACUGCCGUGGAGAAGGGUUUCGUGUGAACAGCCGUUGCACACGAGUCAGUCGAUCGUAAGCCCUAUGAGAAAUCAUAUGCAGAUGAGGUGUCCUUAAUAUGCAACGCGACGUAUUCGAACGCUAGGUACGUACUCCCAUCGGGCGAAAGGAAAUCUAGUUCCUAUUCCGGAACCCGGUAGCGGAACUGAAAUCCAUUCGGACUGAAGUAUUCGUCGGGGUAACCCACAAUGACCUGGAGACGCCGUUGGGGAGAGUUUUCGUUUUUGUAUAAGCGUUCGAGUUCCCUGGAAACUUCUAGCAAGGAGAUAGAGUUUGGAACGCGAAGAGCACCGCAGUGGCGGCGGUCUCCGGAUAUUCCCCUCGGACCUGGAAAAUCCAGAAGAGGGCCACGUAGAGGUGUCCGCAGCAAGUCUCCAAGGUUAAUAGCCUCUAGUC
rnacentral:ncRNA from 1 species